GUUUGAUCCUGGCUCAGGACGAACGCUGGCGGCGUGCCUAAUACAUGCAAGUCGAACGAAGCUUUCUUUCACCGAAUGCUUGCAUUCACCGAAAGAAGCUUAGUGGCGAACGGGUGAGUAACACGUAGGCAACCUGCCCAAAAGAGGGGGAUAACACUUGGAAACAGGUGCUAAUACCGCAUAACCAUGAACACCGCAUGAUGUUCAUGUAAAAGACGGCUUUUGCUGUCACUUUUGGAUGGGCCUGCGGCGUAUUAACUUGUUGGUGGGGUAACGGCCUACCAAGGUGAUGAUACGUAGCCGAACUGAGAGGUUGAUCGGCCACAUUGGGACUGAGACACGGCCCAAACUCCUACGGGAGGCAGCAGUAGGGAAUCUUCCACAAUGGACGAAAGUCUGAUGGAGCAACGCCGCGUGAAUGAAGAAGGCCUUCGGGUCGUAAAAUUCUGUUGUCAGAGAAGAACGUGCGUGAGAGUAACUGUUCACGUAUUGACGGUAUCUGACCAGAAAGCCACGGCUAACUACGUGCCAGCAGCCGCGGUAAUACGUAGGUGGCGAGCGUUGUCCGGAUUUAUUGGGCGUAAAGGGAACGCAGGCGGUCUUUUAAGUCUGAUGUGAAAGCCUUCGGCUUAACCGAAGUAGUGCAUUGGAAACUGGAAGACUUGAGUGCAGAAGAGGAGAGUGGAACUCCAUGUGUAGCGGUGAAAUGCGUAGAUAUAUGGAAGAACACCAGUGGCGAAAGCGGCUCUCUGGUCUGUAACUGACGCUGAGGUUCGAAAGCGUGGGUAGCAAACAGGAUUAGAUACCCUGGUAGUCCACGCCGUAAACGAUGAGUGCUAAGUGUUGGAGGGUUUCCGCCCUUCAGUGCUGCAGCUAACGCAUUAAGCACUCCGCCUGGGGAGUACGGUCGCAAGA
rnacentral:rRNA from 1 species